rnacentral:rRNA from 1 species
UGGGGAAUAUUGCACAAUGGGCGCAAGCCUGAUGCAGCAACGCCGCGUGAACGAUAAAGGUCUUCGGAUCGUAAAGUUCUGUUGCAGGGGAAGAUAAUGACGGUACCCUGUGAGGAAGCCCCGGCUAACUACGUGCCAGCAGCCGCGGUAAUACGUAGGGGGCUAGCGUUAUCCGGAUUUACUGGGCGUAAAGGGUGCGUAGGUGGUCUUUCAAGUCGGUGGUUAAAGGCUACGGCUCAACCGUAGUUAGCCUCCGAAACUGGAAGACUUGAGUGCAGGAGAGGAAAGUGGAAUUCCCAGUGUAGCGGUGAAAUGCUUAGAUAUCAUGAAGAACUCCGAUUGCGAAGGCAGCUUACGGGAGCGCAACUGACGCUGAAGCUCGAAGGUGCGGGUAUCGAACAGG